rnacentral:tRNA from 1 species
GCGGGGGUGGCCGAGUGGUCAAAGGCGCAGGACUUAAGAUCCUGUCCCGAAGAGGGUUCGUGGGUUCGAAUCCCACCCCCCGCA